UUUUCAUGAUGACUUUAUUCAGUUCUGCUUCUGAAUUAAUUUGAAGAAAGUCAUACCCACAAUUCUGAUGU